AAAAGAAACUUCACACGGCAGCUGUUAUUUAAUGGUCUUAAGGUAGCAAAAUUCCUUGACAGGUAAGUUCCGAGGAUAACGAAUG
rnacentral:rRNA from 8 species